GCCGGGUGCGGUGGUGCGUACCUGUAGUCCCAACUACUCCGGAGGCUGAGGUGGGAGGAUCGCUUGAGCCCAGGAGGUCUGGGCUGCAGUGCGCUAUGCCAAUGGGGUGUCCCCACUAAGUUCAGCAUCAAUAUGGUGACCUCCCGGGAGUGGGGGACCACCAGGUUGCCUAAGGAGGGGUAAACCGGCCCAGGUCAAAAACAGAGCAGGUCAAAACUCCCGUGCUGAUCAGUAGUGGGAUCACACCUGUAAACAGAUACUGCACACCAGCCUGGGCAACAUAGCCAGACCCCAUCUCU
rnacentral:SRP_RNA from 1 species